AAGUCGUGGUGUGGGCAUUUUUGAAUCAACAUUUUAAAAUGCUCCCAUGCUGCAUGAAAAAUUUCCCCUUAUAACUUCUUAAACAUCAAAAUUUCCCUUCUUAAUUG
rfam:Gossypium raimondii Chr12_contig_494, whole genome shotgun sequence.